GGAAAUCUCAUCAGGCCCGGACACUGGAAGGAUUGACAGAUUGAUACCUCUUUCUUGAUUCUGUGGGUGGUGGUGCAUGGCCGUUCUUAGUUGGUGGAGUGAUUUGUCUGGUUAAUUCCGAUAACGAACGAGACUCUGUCCUGCUAAAUAGAGUCUGCUUCUCUUUUGAGCAGACAAUUCUUCUUAGAGGGACUAUCGGAUUCAAACCGAUGGAAGUGUGAGGCAAUAA
rnacentral:rRNA from 1 species